GAAUGGGAGGCUGCCAACACUUCCAUGUUGUUGACGCAAUCAAGCCACGCCAGGUCUAGCUGAUCCCUGGCAGGGAACAAGCCGAUUGGGUCUAAGGUGACCUCAAGCGGGUGUAGCCGACAGAACUGGGUGAGGAGCUGCAGAGCAGCCAACUCCCAGGUAUCCUCCAGAGCGUGUCCGCAAGUCAAGACUUCGAGCUGGGGCCACUCGGGCUGCACAG
rnacentral:lncRNA from 1 species